rnacentral:rRNA from 1 species
UACGUAGGUGGCGAGCGUUGUCCGGAUUUACUGGGCGUAAAGGGCGUGCAGGCGGUUUGUUAAGUGCAGGGUGAAAGCUCCCGGCUCAACUGGGAGAGGUCCUUGCAUACUGGCGAACUCGAGGGAGGCAGAGGAAAGUGGAAUUCCCGGUGUAGUGGUGAUAUGCGCAGAUAUCAGGAGGAACACCGAUGGCGAAGGCAGGUCUCUGGGCAUUAACUGACGCUGAGGAGCGAAAGCAUGGGGAGCGAACAGG